UAACUAUUAUACUCAUGACAGAUUAUAAAGCUGACAUAGAGCUGGAUACAGGAAUGCUCCAACAGACUUAGCAGAAAAUCAGGCAAAGAAUCACAGGCUAGGAUAGUAACAAGAGACAAUGGCUACCGCUGCAGCCAAGAAACUACUGUGUGACCAGCAAAGUGUGAGAGACAGCCUUGUCAGAUAAAGGGAGCUUGAGCCAUUCAACAAACAAGCUUCCCUUAAAUUACAAUUACCAACAGCUGCCCUACCACACGACGUCCCGCUGCCCUGUGAGAGCUUGGUGUCUGUGUAGCCAGGCAACUCAGUCCAGACGACGAGCAGAAGCUCCCCCUGGCCACCGUACUGGCUCAGUGCUCUGGUUGCUAAGGAGCUGGCACCCGGGAAUGGAAGGAAGAAAAAACACGGGGAAAUCACAUGAAGCCCCGCAUGUGCUCACGCUGCAGCACUCCACUGACGGGAACCAGCGGAUAACAUAAGCCACGGGCGUCCUCUCUCAGACAAUACAGGAGACAGGGCCAGGGAUUGUGAGACCUUCACAGCAACUUAAAGUAACCUGUACAUGCUCAGGGUUUGAGUUAACCAGCUAUCACAUUAGCUGGAUCAGACAGUCACCUGGGCAAGGUCUAGAAUGGAUUGGACGAAUACUCACCGGUGGUAGCACAUAUUAUGCUGAUUUACUCAAAAGCAGAACCACAAUCACAAAAGACAACGCCAAGAAACAGGUCUUUCUCCAAAUAAAUACAGUGGAACCUAAAGACACAGGAAUGUAUUUCUGUGCAAGGGAGCACAUAAACACAAAGCAAUGAGAAGCUCAUACAAUAUCCUAUCCUGCUUCUCUGUGAAUGGAAAUAUAAAACCACAAGAUGUUACUGGACUGAAACAAAAAACAAUGUUAAACUAGUAGAAUUCAGUAAACCACAAUGCAAGUGUCA